AAUCAUUUAAACACACAGUAAAUGCAAGGAUGAAACUUUUCUUGUAAAUGAACUUAAAACAUUCAUUAAUAACCUUGGGUUUUUCUUAAAAGCACAGAGAGGAAAGAAAAUUGAACUCUGUUCCUCAUCCAGUCUAGUUGGCCAGACCAGACCGGGAGAAGACAUUUUCUCUCAGUGCUUCGAACUCUUUUUUAA